rnacentral:rRNA from 1 species
UACAGAGGGUGCGAGCGUUGUUCGGAAUUACUGGGCGUAAAGCGCGCGUAGGCGGACCUGCAAGUCGGGGGUGAAAUCCCCAGGCUUAACCUGGGAACUGCAUUCGAGACUGCAUUGCUAGAGUAUGGGAGAGGGAAGUGGAAUUUCCGGUGUAGCGGUGAAAUGCGUAGAUAUCGGAAGGAACAUCAGUGGCGAAAGCGACUUCCUGGACCAAUACUGACGCUCAUGUGCGAAAGCGUGGGGAGCAAACAGG